GUGGGGAAUAUUGCGCAAUGGGGGAAACCCUGACGCAGCGACGCCGUGUGAGGGAAGAAGGCUUUCGGGUCGUAAACCUCUGUCAGAAAGGAAGAACCUCCCAAGUCCGAAUAGGGCUUGGGACUGACGGUACUUUCAAAGGAAGCACCGGCUAACUCCGUGCCAGCAGCCGCGGUAAUACGGAGGGUGCAAGCGUUAAUCGGAAUCACUGGGCGUAAAGCGCGCGUAGGUCGCUUUGUAAGUCGGACGUGAAAGCCCUCGGCUCAACCGGGGAACUGCGUUCGAUACUGCGAGGCUUGAGUCCUGGAGAGGGUGGCGGAAUUCCGGGUGUAGGAGUGAAAUCCGUAGAUAUCCGGAGGAACACCGGUGGCGAAGGCGGCCACCUGGACAGGUACUGACGCUGAGGCGCGAAAGCGUGGGGAGCAAACAGGAUUAGAAACCCGGGUAGUCC
rnacentral:rRNA from 1 species